rnacentral:rRNA from 1 species
UACGUAGGGACCGAGCGUUGUCCGGAAUCAUUGGGCGUAAAGAGCGUGUAGGCGGCUCGCUAAGUCUUGCGUGAAAUCUCGGGGCUCAACCCCGAGCGGUCGUGAGAAACUGGCGGGCUAGAGUGCGGGAGAGGAGAGUGGAAUUCCUGGUGUAGCGGUGAAAUGCGUAGAUAUCGUAAGGAAGACCAGUGGCGAAGGCGGGUCUCUGGACAGUUCCUGACGCUGAGGCACGAAGGCCAGGGGAGCAAACUGG